ACAUCCAGAGAACUUAGCAGNGAUGCUUUGGUGGCCUUCGGGAACUCUGGAGACAGGUGCUGCAUGGCUGUCGUCAGCUCGUGUUGUGAAAUGUUGGGUUAAGUCCCGNAACGAGCGCAACCCUUAUCCUUUGUUGCCAGCGGUUCGGCCGGGAACUCAAAGGAGACUGCCGGUGAUAAACCGGAGGAAGGUGGGGAUGACGUCAAGUCAUCAUGGCCCUUACGGCCAGGGCUACACACGUGCUACAAUGGCGCAUACAAAGAGAAGCGACCUCGCGAGAGCAAGCGGACCUCAUAAAGUGCGUCGUAGUCCGGAUUGGAGUCUGCAACUCGACUCCAUGAAGUCGGAAUCGCUAGUAAUCGUAGAUCAGAAUGCUACGGUGAAUACGUUCCCGGGCCUUGUACACACCGCCCGUCACACCAUGGGAGUGGGUUGCAAAAGAAGUAGGUAGCUUAACCUUCGGGAGGGCGCUUACCACUUUGUGAUUCAUGACUGGGGUGAAGUCGUAACAAGGUAGGCGUAGCGAG
rnacentral:rRNA from 1 species